ACGUCUUUGCGGAAACUACUAGAAUCGACUAGAAUGGAUGUUAAUUGCUCAAUUAACAGCUGAAGAAUAAGCAAGAGCAUGUAGACGUUGAUUCUUAUGAUUCCUAUUUGCCGCAUGCAAUCCCUGCAUUGCAAGACCCAUGGCCUGGAAUGCAUAAUUAACCACCAAAAGACGGUGAUCAUCGCUUCUAAAAGUAGGUCAAUAAAUGAAAUAGAAGCGACACACCCUUUUUUGCCGGCUACAUAAACUCGUUUGAAGGUGAUUCAAGACAUCAGUUGUUCAAUUCAUCAAAAGUACGCAACACGAAACUAACAAAUGGAAUUUCUUUUGAUUUUAUUGGUUUACAUUUUCAUCGCUUAUUGAAAAGUUUCAAUUUCUUUUCGUAGUUUGUCAUCGGCACUUUCUUGGCUAUUGCUGCCGCUGCGCCUUCCAGCAACAAGCCGGAAUACAAAGCUCCUAGCUAUACUACCCCAAACUUCCCUGCACCAAAGUACCCUACUACUAGCUAACCUGCACCAGCUUACUCUACUCCCAGCUACAACAAGGAUAACAAAUACGCUGAUAUCACCAUCACCAGCCAAUCUGACGAACGCAUCCUCGAUGGCAGCAGCCAAUGGAGGUCUGGGAAUGGCUGAAAAGAGUGACGCAAAAGUCAGGACAGUUUGAAAAAUGAUUGGAAUAAUGACCACACUGGCUGGAUACAUGGAAAGGAAAGGCUAUAAACUCCAAAUGGAGGAAAUUAGGUGUCCACAUGAAUUAUAAACGGUGGAUUAAUUGGACGACCAAACCCACUCUUUUUUCACGUUCUCUGCAGUUAACCAUCACAAAUAUGUUUUUAUUCUGUUUUAUAUAAAUCAGGCAGAAAUGUAAAUAAAUUUUUGUCGUGACCCUCG